rnacentral:lncRNA from 1 species
ACUAGUCCUAAACCUAGCCCUCAUUCUAGCUCUAAACNUAUUCUCACGGUUGCUGUGCACCAGGAGUUCUAUCAUGACCUACUCUAGUCUUCUGCUGGGGAUCUCACCGGCUAUAGUCAAGAUGUCAGCAGAAGCUGCAAGCUGAUCUGAGGCUGGGAAUCCUCUUUCAAGAUCACACAGUUGUUGGCAGAAUUCAGCACUUUGAGGUUGGAGGACUGAAGUCCCCAACUAUGAAAGGCUGCCUGCAGUUCUAUGGCAGUCAGCUAUCUUCAACAGAUGGUUUAUUUCACAGCAACAUGCUUUUCUAAGGCUGGUGAAUGAGUUUUUCACUCCAGCCUGCUACAAUUUAGCCUUUUAUAAUGUAUCAUACUCUUAGAUGUUCCUUGUUAUUACCUUUGCUAUAUUCUAUUGGCCAGAUCAAGUCAGUUUCUGCCCAUUGUCAUGGAAUUGCAACUACAAAAUAUCUUAAAUACUAGGACACAGGAAUUAUUGGGAGUCAUCUAGGGUGUGUCCACCACACUUUACCUGCUUUAGUAAAUUGACCAGAGUACAUUUUGUUCAUCAAUUUUGUCUUAAAUGCAUAUCAUAAUACACAUAAUAACAAAAUGACCUGUAUUCAUGUUUUUCUCCUCCAUCCUAGAGUCACUUAAAUUCCUAUCUCCAGAAUAACUUAACAGGUAUUUACUGUUUUUCUAAAUAAAUUAUGUAAUUAAUAGAUAAAUAAAAUAAUGAAUGUGCAAAUUAUUUAUAUUUAUUAAAAAUAUCAAUACAAGACAAUGUGAGUGGUACAGACGUAAGGCCUUUCAUGCCAUUAAGAACAUUGGAUUUGAGCAAACUUUGAGAUGUGGUAGCAUGGUAGAGCUGAUGAAUCACAAAAAAUAAUAGCAGAAGUAGAGGUAGGAAUAAAUACUUAGUUCCACAAAACAAGCAGAAGGUUCUGAUAGGGUGUACACAGCAAGAUGCUUCUAGUCAUAUGAGGCCCCAGAGGCCAUCUUUACAAGUCUCUUGUUUACAUUUUAAAUCACAGGUUAGAUUUCAGAAAGAUAGGGCAAAAGUAUUACAGCUAUUCAUGUUUAAAACUAUCCUUUAGAAACCUCUUUCUGUGCCAGACAAUAAUAUUUCCACAUCUUUCAAAAUGGCUAUAACAUAUAUUUGAUGAAAUCAGGACUCCUGAACAAUUGUUUUAAUUUUGCCCAUGUAAUUUCAAAUUUCAUAUACAUGAAUUACUCAAUAUUUUUUAUAUUUAUCAUGUUUAUAAAGUUUUUUGACCAAUGCAUAAACCAUGCACAGUACUUUUACAUCAAUUUGUGUUACUUAAUAAAUUAAAUGCAGCCGUUCCCCUUCUCUGUGACAACCUGUGUCAAGUAUUUUUAAUACUUAACUCACUAAUUGGAAUUCCUUCCUACUCUUUCCUUUUAUUAACUAACCUCUUGGUGAGAGACCAACCAGCUGUUACUUUCAACUUACUUUUAAACAGGUUUUUAAAAGUGUGGUAUUCCAGACUUCUAAAUGCUCAGUCUUUCAAGCUAGCAAAACUAUCUGUAUAUAGGCCAAUUAAGGAAGCAGAAAGCAUAGCCAUGGUUUCAUAAAUUACAUUUGGUAUUAGACAACAUCCCAAAGAUAACCUCUAUCCCUCCCCUCUUAACUCCCAUAUCUCCUUUUCCAAUUUUCUUCCAAUUUAAUCUUAUUCUCAUAAUGCUUAAAUCUGAAAACUCUGAUCAGUAUAAAAGUUCAAACUCCUGGAAUCUCUAUUUAGAACACUUGACAUGCCCCAAAUAUCAGCCUCUUAAAUGUAUUUAUUGCACUCCCAUUGUAGGAGGAAACACUUUGCAUUCUCUCAGCCUGCCACUCCCACCACCCACUCUACAAGUCAAAAUCAAAGCCACAAUUUUGUUGCCAUGUUAACCUCAGGAAGGACAAUGCAUCUCUAAAAUUAAGUAACAAAAGUUCAUUUUUUAUUGAUCAUUCAAUCAUGAACCUGUUUUCCAGUAAAAUGAAAAGAUGAUCUAAAUCAGUCUCCUUUGCUAAAGCAUCUCAGAGAUCUUUCAUCUUAAUUAUUACAUGAUUGCAGCUGCUGCCAUUUCAUUCUAGGUGAGUCAUUCCAAGGCAUGUCACUCUGAUCACCUUCUACUUGUCACCCUUGAUUGAUCCAGUCCUCUAAUCACUUUGCUUUUGCUUAACUACAUCAAGUAGCUGUUGCUAUGACAAUUCAAACUGUAAGAACCUCACUUGUUUAAAAACUGUCAAAAUCCUUAUAUAUUUUAUGGAAUCAAUUUUCUCAGUAUACUCACAAGAAUUUUGCCUUCAAAAGUCAAUGGAGUUAGAUAAUUGAAAAAGUUUCACAUAGUGGGUAUUGAAUUAAACUUUUUUAAAUAGAAGGUGGUUUGUGCUAGCAAUCAGGAUCAAAUUAAGUGGCACUCAAUAAAAAAAUGUGUAAUUUUUUUUUUGAAAGUUUAGUAAGAAUGACACUAGUUUACAAAAGAAAGCCUUGUUAAUCAAGUAAAUACUAUAUAAAUAUUGCUUAACUAAAUGCAAAUACAAGUUUUUCU